rnacentral:rRNA from 1 species
GACUAGAGUAUGAUAGGGGUAGAGGGAAUUUCUAGUGUAGCGGUGAAAUGCGUAGAUAUUAGAAAGAACACCGGUGGCGAAGGCGCUCUACUGGAUCAUUACUGACACUCAGAGGCGAAAGCUAGGGUAGCAAAAGGGAUUAGAUACCCCUGUAGUCCUAGCCGUAAACGAUGGAUACUAGAUGUUGCGUUUAUUAUGCAGUAUCGUAGCUAACGCGUUAAGUAUCCCGCCUGGGGAGUACGCUCGCAAGGGUGAAACUCAAAGGAAUUGACGGGGGCCCGCACAAGCGGUGGAGCAUGUGGUUUAAUUCGAUGCAACGCGAAGAACCUUACCAAGGCUUGACAUACUACAAAUUUCUUUGAAAGAGGAAAGUGCCUUCGGGAAUGUAGAUACAGGUGGUGCAUGGCUGUCGUCAGCUCGUGUCGUGAGAUGUUGGGUUAAGUCCCGCAACGAGCGCAACCCUUAUUUUUAGUUGCUAAUUUAUUAGGUUUUCUAAAGAGACUGCCGGUGACAAACCGGAGGAAGGUGAGGAUGACGUCAAGUCAGCAUGCCCCUUAUGCCUUGGGCUACACACGUGCUACAAUGGUUAAGACAAAGAGUUGCGAGCUCGCGAGAGUCAGCUAAUCUCAUAAACUUAGCCUAAGUUCGGAUUGUAGGCUGCAACUCGCCUACAUGAAGUCGGAAUCGCUAGUAAUCGCUGGUCAGCCAUACAGCGGUGAAUCCGUUCCCGGGCCUUGCACACACCGCCCGUCACACCAUGGGAGCUGGUCAUGCCCGAAACCGUUUGCUUAACCUUUCGGAGAGCGGCGUCUAAGGUAGGGUUAGUGACUGGGGUGAAGUCGUAACAAGGUAGCCGUA